GUAAUAUAAAAUACGGUCUCUUAGCUUUUAACUAAAAAAACUAAGAGACGUCUCUUAGUUUUUUUAGUUAAAAGCUAAAAGACCGUAUCUUAUAUUAC
rnacentral:pre_miRNA from 1 species